rnacentral:rRNA from 1 species
UACGUAGGGGGCAAGCGUUGUCCGGAAUCAUUGGGCGUAAAGCGCGUGUAGGCGGCUCGGUAAGUCCGCUCUGAAAGUCCAGGGCUCAACCCUGGGGAUGCGGGUGGAUACUGCCGGGCUCGAGUCCGGAAGAGGCGAGUGGAAUUCCCGGUGUAGCGGUGAAAUGCGCAGAUAUCGGGAGGAACACCAAUGGCGAAGGCAGCUCGCUGGGACGUGACUGACGCUGAGACGCGAAAGCGUGGGGAGCAAACAGGG